rnacentral:rRNA from 1 species
UACGAAGGGGGCUAGCGUUGUUCGGAAUUACUGGGCGUAAAGCGCACGUAGGCGGACCGGUAAGUUAGAGGCGAAAUCCCAGAGCUUAACUCUGGAACUGCCUUUGAUACUGCCGGUCUUGAGGAUGAGAGAGGUAAGUGGAACUGCGAGUGUAGAGGUGAAAUUCGUAGAUAUUCGCAAGAACACCAGUGGCGAAGGCGGCUUACUGGCUCAUUUCUGACGCUGAGGUGCGAAAGCGUGGGGAGCAAACAGG